AGAGUUUGAUCCUGGCUCAGGAUGAACGCUAGCUACAGGCUUAACACAUGCAAGUCGAGGGGAAACGAUAUUGGAAGCUUGCUUCCGAUAGGCGUCGACCGGCGCACGGGUGAGUAACGCGUAUCCAACCUGCCCAUCACUUGGGGAUAACCUUGCGAAAGUAAGACUAAUACCCAAUGACGUCUCUAGAAGACAUCUGAAGGAGAUUAAAGAUUUAUCGGUGAUGGAUGGGGAUGCGUCUGAUUAGCUUGUUGGCGGGGUAACGGCCCACCAAGGCAACGAUCAGUAGGGGUUCUGAGAGGAAGGUCCCCCACAUUGGAACUGAGACACGGUCCAAACUCCUACGGGAGGCAGCAGUGAGGAAUAUUGGUCAAUGGGCGAGAGCCUGAACCAGCCAAGUAGCGUGCAGGAAGACGGCCCUAUGGGUCGUAAACUGCUUUUAUAAGGGAAUAAAGUGAGCCUCGUGAGACUUUUUGCAUGUACCUUAUGAAUAAGGACCGGCUAAUUCCGUGCCAGCAGCCGCGGUAAUACGGAAGGUCCGGGCGUUAUCCGGAUUUAUUGGGUUUAAAGGGAGCGUAGGCCGGAGAUUAAGCGUGUUGUGAAAUGUAGACGCUCAACGUCUGCACUGCAGCGCGAACUGGUUUCCUUGAGUACGCACAAAGUGGGCGGAAUUCGUGGUGUAGCGGUGAAAUGCUUAGAUAUCACGAAGAACUCCGAUUGCGAAGGCAGCUCACUGGAGCGCAACUGACGCUGAAGCUCGAAAGUGCGGGUAUCGAACAGGAUUAGAUACCCUGGUAGUCCGCACGGUAAACGAUGGAUGCCCGCUGUUGGUCUGAACAGGUCAGCGGCCAAGCGAAAGCAUUAAGCAUCCCACCUGGGGAGUACGCCGGCAACGGUGAAACUCAAAGGAAUUGACGGGGACCCGCACAAGCGGUGGAGCAUGUGGUUUAAUUUGAAGCAACGCGAAGAACCUUACCAAGUCUUGACAUCCUUCUGACCGGUACUUAACCGUACCUUCUCUUCGGAGCAGGAGUGACAGGUGGUGCAUGGUUGUCGUCAGCUCGUGUCGUGAGAUGUUGGGUUAAGUCCCGCAACGAGCGCAACCCUUAUCUUUAGUAGCCAGCGGUUCGGCCGGGCACUCUAGAGAGACCGCCAGGGAUAACCUGGAGGAAGGCGGGGAUGACGUCAAAUCAUCAUGCCCCUUAUGACUUGGGCUACACACGUGCUACAAUGGCGUAAACAAAGGGAAGCAAAGCUGUGAAGCCGAGCAAAUCUCAAAAAUAACGUCUCAGUUCGGACUGUAGUCUGCAACCCGACUACACGAAGCUGGAAUCGCUAGUAAUCGCAGAUCAGAAUGCUGCGGUGAAUACGUUCCCGGGUCUUGUACACACCGCCCGUCACACCAUGGGAGUUGGGAAUGCCCGAAGCCAGUGACCUAACCGAAAGGAAGGAGCUGUCGAAGGCAGGCUCGAUAACUGGGGUGAAGUCGUAACAAGGUA
rnacentral:rRNA from 1 species